rnacentral:rRNA from 1 species
CCCUUAGAUGUUCUGGGCCGCACGCGCGCUACACUGAUGCAUUCAACGAGCCUAUCCUUGACCGACAGGUCCGGGUAAUCUUUGAAUCUGCAUCGUGACGGGGAUAGAUUAUUGCAAUUAUUAAUCUUCAACGAGGAAUGCCUAGUAGGCGCAAGUCAUCAGCUCGCGUCGAUUACGUCCCUGCCCUUUGUACACACCGCCCGUCGCUACUACCGAUCGGAUGGUUUAGUGAGACCCUCGGACUGGUCCCGCUGUCGGACAGGCAACUGUUUGCAGCGCGUGCGCCGGGAAGAAGGUCGAACUUGACUAUCUAGAGGAAGUAAAAGUCGUAACA